rnacentral:lncRNA from 1 species
AUGACUACAACAAGAUCUCCUUCAAGGAGCAGGUGCCCGUGCCCUUGGAGGAGGUGCUGCUGGAUGCCUCUCCCCAGGCUUUGGUCUUUCUGGGGAGGUUCCUCCUCUACCCUCCACUCCAGCGCAUUGCAGCCUCCCAGCUCCCUCCCAUCAUCAACUCAAGACCUAAGAUACCGGAAAAGCAUCUCUUCUCUCCUCCUUUUUCUUCCUCUGGCUGGUCCUGACCAGAGGGCCCUAGUGAGAGCGGCUCCUGAUAAUGUCAGGAUCUUCUUCGGAACCUGCAGCAUAAUUCAUUUUCCCCGGAAUGGAUGUGGAGCCUCCCCGUACUUCCAAAUUGGGCUGCACCAACUCUGAGACUUCUGUGUUCCAUUUUCUCAACGCUCCAAUGAAUUGUCAAGACAAAGCUUUGUGUCAAGAUAGAGAAGCGUCUUUUCCCAGGCCUGCAUUUCUGGCUGGGAAACAGGAGCCCAAAUCCUAAAUGUGUCUAUUUGGUCAGCUUACAGUCCAAACAGCG